rnacentral:tRNA from 1 species
AGUUAAAUAAUCUAAAAAAGAUAUUAAAUUGCAAAUUUAAUUAUAAUAGUUAUAUUUUUAACUU